AUGCUCGCUUCAGUAGCACACAUACUAAAAUUGGAACGAUAUAGAGAAGAUUAACAUGGCCCCUUUGCAAGGAUGACAUGAAUAAAAGUAUAUUAUUCUUUGCUUUG
ensembl:snRNA U6 U6 spliceosomal RNA